UUCAGGCCUAACACAUGCAAGUCGUGCGAGAAAGGUCCUUCGGGACUGAGUACAGCGGCGAACGGGUGAGUAACACGUGAGCGAUCUGCCCGGCAGAGGGGGAUAACUCAGGGAAACUUGAGCUAAUACCGCAUACAGCGUCGGCUUCGAAGCCGAACGUGAAAGCGGGCCUCUCCAUGGAAGCUCGUGCUGCCGGAUGAGCUCGCGGCCUAUCAGCUUGUUGGUGGGGUAACGGCCUACCAAGGCGAUGACGGGUAGCUGGCGUGAGAGCGUGGCCAGCCACACUGGGACUGAGACACGGCCCAGACUCCUACGGGAGGCAGCAGUGGGGAAUAUUGCGCAAUGGGCGAAAGCCUGACGCAGCGACGCCGCGUGGGGGAGGAAGGCCUCAGGGUUGUAAACCCCUGUCAGGUGGGACGAAUCCCGGGUCGGAUAAUACCCGGCCCGAAUGACGGUACCACCAGAGGAAGCUCCGGCUAACUCCGUGCCAGCAGCCGCGGUAAUACGGAGGGAGCGAGCGUUGUUCGGAAUUACUGGGCGUAAAGGGCGCGUAGGCGGUCGGGUAAGUCGGGUGUGAAAUUCCGGGGCUCAACCCCGUGGACUGCAUCCGAUACUGCCUGACUUGAGAGAGGUAGGGGCGAGUGGAAUUCCCGGUGUAGCGGUGGAAUGCGUAGAUAUCGGGAAGAACACCGGUGGCGAAGGCGGCUCGCUGGACCUUUUCUGACGCUGAAGCGCNGAAAGCGUGGGGGAGCAAACA
rnacentral:rRNA from 1 species